CAAUUCCCAUGGAAGCGGUCCCUGCUGCACCCGUGCUAGCUGCAUGUAGCACAACGCCGGCACUCGUCAAAGGCUAUAAAGUUUCGUGGCCUCAACCCCCUAUCGCCUCGGAGUUCCGUCAAGCAGGCUAGCAAAGACAGUGCUCCCUGCAGCAGCUUCGAGUCUUCGGAAAGCAGUUAUAGUACAGGAACGAUGUGGUAGGUUAUGCCGAUCACGAAUCGGGUUAUAUAGCCACAAGCGCCGCUGUCCCUAGAUCUGAGACGCUGCUUAAAUCAUCUGUAAAGAUGUACAAGGCCUGAUGAUGAGUUCGAAGAACUUGUACCAUUACUCCUAUGUUCUUCAAGA